CGUUCCCGGGUCUUGUACACACCGCCCGUCAUACCAUGGGAGCGGGUUUUACCAGAAGUAGGUAGCUUAACCGCAAGGAGGGCGCUUACCACGGUAGGAUUCGUGACUGGGGUG
rnacentral:rRNA from 1 species